rnacentral:lncRNA from 1 species
CUACAUUUUUUAUUAAAAAAAAAAGAAAAAAAUAUGUUAUUUAUCUUUUUCUCCUCUCUUCUAGUCAUAGAGUCUCUACAACUCCUCUUUGAAUUUCUCAUCUGUGAAUCAAAAUUCUUUUUUGUUUAGCUUUCUCUUUUGGGUAUGCUGCAUCCACAUAGUAAAUUGAAAAUAACUGAGACAGUUGUUGGUGAUGAGAGUGAUUUGGCAAACAUGAGAAUUUUUUCUUACCUUUAUUGCAUAGAUCUAAAAGUGGAUCAUUGCCAUUAUUGCAAUUAGUUUUGAAGAACAAAAGUUCUGGAGCCAUUAUUGCUAUUAGAUCUCAAGCUUUACUCUAUGUUUGUGUAGGUUUGGAAACAAGAGAGAGAUGGAUGAGGUGAUGAAAUGGAGGGAUAAGAUAAUGGAGAAGAGAGAAAAGACUAAAUUG